rnacentral:rRNA from 1 species
CAGCCGCCGCGGGAAUACGAAGGGGGCUAGCGUUGCUCGGAUUUACUGGGCGUAAAGGGCGCGUAGGCGGACAGUUAAGUUGGGGGUGAAAGCCCGGGGCUCAACCUCGGAAUUGCCUUCAAUACUGGCUGUCUUGAGUACGGGAGAGGUGUGUGGAACUCCGAGUGUAGAGGUGAAAUUCGUAGAUAUUCGGAAGAACACCAGUGGCGAAGGCGACACACUGGCCCGUUACUGACGCUGAGGCGCGAAAGCGUGGGGAGCAAACAGGAUUAGAUACCCCUGUAGUCCCUGUCUCUUAUAC